rnacentral:ncRNA from 1 species
CGUUCUCAGGGCGGGGUGCGAUUCCCCACCGGUGGUAAUUGCCAAUAUAACGGCAUAGCCCACGAGCGCUUGAUUACGCUGUGCAUAGGUAAACAAGGUCAGCAGACUUGGUGAGAUCCCAAGGCCGACGGUUACAGUCCGGAUGAAGAGAG